UCCCUGGUAGUAUAUCGGUUAGUACACGCGCCUGUCAUGGCUUAGUCAUAUUCAUGCUUCGACGUCGCGCGAAAGCUGGGUUCGACUCCCAGCCAGGGAG